GGAGAUGUUACAAAUGAAUCAGUACGAAAUGACUCUCGUUGGGUAUGUUUGGAACGACUUUUAUACAAAAAAUGAUCACCUCUUAGAGAUUGAUUCUUGGUGGAUGAAUACCUUGGUGCAUAUGAAGGACUACUUGUGAUUUUUUGUUCGUCACCUCGAAAAGCUUCAAAUUCGAAACUUGCUUUGCUUCGUCUUGAAUUCCUCGUUGAAUAGGAAUCAUG
rnacentral:lncRNA from 1 species